UACGUAGGCAGCGAGCGUUGUUCGGAGUUACUGGGCGUAAAGGGUGUGUAGGCGGUUGUUUAAGUUUGGUGUGAAAUCUCCCGGCUCAACUGGGAGGGUGUCGCCGAAUACUGAAUGACUUCGAGUGCGGGAGAGGAGAGUGGAAUUCCUGGUGUAGCGGUGAAAUGCGUAGAUAUCAGGAGGAACACCGGUGGUGUAGACGGCUCUCUGGACCGUAACUGACGCUGAGACACGAAAGCGUGGGUAGCAAACAGG
rnacentral:rRNA from 1 species